UUUCCGUAGGUGAACCUGCGGAAGGAUCAUUAAAGCGUUGAACCUGCGCCCCCGGGCGUAGGUAAAACCCCACCCGUGACUACUACACCACAUGUUGCUUUGGCGGGCCCGCCUCUGGCUGCCGGGGUUCCCCUGGAUAGCGCCCGCCAGAGAUACACUGAACUUCUGUGAAACUGGACGUCUGAGUUGAUAUCAAUCAUUAAAACUUUCAACAAUGGAUCUCUUGGUUCCG
rnacentral:misc_RNA from 1 species